rnacentral:tRNA from 1 species
GAGCACAUGGUUACCGCAGUGGCUAGCGCUCUCUCCUUCUAGCCGGGAGACCUGGGAUCAAAUCCCAGCGAGCUCU